ACACGAAAGCCCAGAUUUCCUGACUCACGGUCAGAGACUGGGCUCCACCACCUGUCAGGUCUGUGGGCAAGACACUGCGUCUGGGUCUGCUCCUGUAGAGGAGAGCAGGUGCUGUUACCUAAGGGGGUUUUGUUUUGUAGUGGGAUGAGAAUGUAAAGCCACUACAUUGCGCCUGGCUCAGUGCAUCCCCAUGCAUACUUGCCUCGCUUACAGAGGGAGCUCAGGCAGAUGCCUGGCCCCCUCAAAGGGGAACCUGAAUUUAUCUUGCAAGAGAGCCUGUUGGUGUCACUGUUGUGUAAAAGAUGAUGCCAUUUUUACCAGCUACCCCCUGCCAUGGACUUUGAUUCAGACUGCAAACUUUCUCCCUCCACCAGGGAUGACCCUGAAAAUGAUAACAGUGAAUUACCCACCGCAAAGGAGUAUUUCCGAGAUCUCUACCACCGCGUUGAUGUCAUUUUCUGUGAUAAAACAAUCCCUAAUGAUCCUGGAUUUGUGGUUACGUUAUCAAAUAGAAUGAAUUAUUUUCAGGUUGCAAAGACAGUUGCACAGAGGCUCAACACAGAUCCA
rnacentral:lncRNA from 1 species